rnacentral:rRNA from 1 species
GAUGAACGCUAGCGGCAGGCUUAAUACAUGCAAGUCGUGGGGCAGCAGGACUGUAGCAAUACAGUUGCUGGCGACCGGCAAACGGGUGCGGAACACGUACGCAACUUACCCUGAACUGGGGGAUAGCCCGGGGAAACCCGGAUUAAUACCCCGUAAUAUAAUGGAGUGGCAUCACUUUAUUAUUAAAGCUCCGGCGGUUCGGGAUGGGCGUGCGGCUGAUUAGGUAGUUGGUUGAGGUAACGGCUCACCAAGCCUACGAUCAGUAACUGGUGUGAGAGCACGACCAGUCACACGGGCACUGAGACACGGGCCCGACUCCUACGGGAGGCAGCAGUAAGGAAUAUUGGGCAAUGGAGGCAACUCUGACCCAGCCAUGCCGCGUGGAGGAUGAAGGCCCUCUGGGUUGUAAACUUCUUUUAUUGGGGACGAAACCUGUGUAUUCUUACGCAGUUGACGGUACCCUAGGAAUAAGCACCGGCUAACUCCGUG